rnacentral:lncRNA from 1 species
CAGAAAAAAUGUGGUGGCUAGUCCCUGUGUAUUAAUCUUAAUUAAAUUUUUUCUUUGCAAAUCUGACGUGACAUCAGGUUUCUCUCAAGAGGGUGCCUUGUGAAACGUUACAGGGAAGAGCGCACGGGUUCGCAGAGCCGCUCUCAACGUCCCCAAAGGGCUUUUAGCACUCAAGAUUUGCACAGGUCCUGCCACAGCCAGCAGAGAUGGGCGCUUCGGAGUCACCGCCGGGCCAUCUCACAACGUGCGCUGGAGUGGCCGUUCCUGCCGAGACCUUCUGCAAGACGCUCCUCUGAAGAGCCAGAAUGAAAAGGAUGAACCCGUCAUCCCUGCUUUGCUCCACUUGUCUCUGCUGUGCUGAAGAUCAAGCACCGAAACAGAACUCCAGUAUCAGGCUGUCUGCGAAAGAGCCCAAAUUUGCCUUGCCCUGGUUGGAAAGUAGAGCUGAGGUUCAAACGUGGAUUGCAAGUGGCCUGUGACGGAGAGACUCAGCAGAGGAAAGUUAUGCCAACCACUGUGGUAUCUGACGUGAAGCAAGGAUAAAAUUCAUUAACAAUAUUCUAACAAGCAGUUUCCUUGGAUAAUGGUGCGGGGGCUCUGCUUGGGCAUUUGGUGCCAGUGGUCCCAUGGGGACACACUGGUCCGGACCUUUUCAGAUGUCACAUAACUUCCUUCAGAGUCCCUCGCGUGCAUGUGCAGCACGUGUGUUUGCUGGCAGACAGGUCUACGGCCACGACACGCUCCAGAGAUCAGGAGGCGCCUUGGGCACGGCCCUGCGGAGCAGGAGGUGAAGCCUGCUUUAUCCCGGGCAUGCCAAGAGCGUCGCCCAGCUCGGACCGUCCAUCCAUCAGGAGCCAGUGCCAGAGCUCUCAUCCCAAAGGAACGGGCUCAGAUUCAUCUGCUCCAGAGAUAAGCAUUUCAAGGAGCGUUUCAACUGAGAUGAAAGGCCUGUGCUGAGGAAGUUGUUUGGCGGAUGUUUGCAUGCCGGCGGCUCGCAGUGCCCAGCGCUAGGUCUCUGCUGCGUGCAGCUUUGCUGGGGGAGCCCCGCUGGCUGCUCUCAGCUGCCGGCCGCAGGACUGAGGGUGAGGUUCACGUUUGAGGCAC